CCUACGGGAGGCAGCAGUGGGGAAUAUUGCACAAUGGGCGAAAGCCUGAUGCAGCAACGCCGCGUGAAGGAAGAAGGGUUUCGGCUCGUAAACUUCUAUCAACAGGGACGAGAGAAAUAACGUUACCUUUAUAAGAACCCCCGGCAAACUACGUGCCAGCAGCCGCGGAAAUACGUAGGGGGCAAGCGUUAUCCGGAUUUACUGGGUGUAAGGGGUGAGUAGGCGGCAUGGUAAGCCAGAUGUGAAAGCCCUGGGCUUAACCCGAGGAUUGCAGUUGGAACUUUUAAGCUAGAGUACAGGAGAGGAAAGCGGAAUUCCUGGUGUAGCGGUGAAAUGCGUAGAUAUUAGGAAGAACACCAGUGGCGAAGGCGGCUUUCUGGACUGUAACUGACGCUGAGGCGCGAAAGCGUGGGGAGCGAACAGGAUUAGAUACCCUUGUAGUC
rnacentral:rRNA from 1 species